AACGAACGCUGGCGGCAUGCCUAACACAUGCAAGUCGAACGAUACCUUCGGGUCUAGUGGCGCACGGGUGCGUAACGCGUGGGAACCUGCCCUUAGGUUCGGAAUAACUCCCCGAAAGGGGUGCUAAUACCGGAUCAUGUCUUCGGACCAAAGAUUUAUCGCCUUUGGAUGGGCCCGCGUUGGAUUAGCUCGUUGGUAGGGUAAAAGCCUACCAAGGCGACGAUCCAUAGCUGGUCUGAGAGGAUGAUCAGCCACACUGGGACUGAGACACGGCCCAGACUCCUACGGGAGGCAGCAGUGGGGAAUAUUGGACAAUGGGCGAAAGCCUGAUCCAGCAAUGCCGCGUGAGUGAUGAAGGCCUUAGGGUUGUAAAGCUCUUUUACCCGGGAUGAUAAUGACAGUACCGGGAGAAUAAGCUCCGGCUAACUCCGUG
rnacentral:rRNA from 1 species